CUGCAGCCCGUGCUCUAAUUGGGCGCCUCCCGGGCUCCUCGCUGCUGAUUGGCCGCAGCAAGUGCUCGUAACCGUUCCUUCCCGCCCCUUCGCGCACGCGCCGGGGCUUCUCUCUAGUAAGGAAAGGAGAAAGGGAUAUAUAACAGAAAGUAGUAUUUUACACUAUGUUGAGCCAGGCUUUUUCUCAGCGAUAGUAAGAUGGCCAGGAGGGGGCAGUUGGCAGAAAGGUUGAACUUUCCUACUGUCCUGCUUCCCGAUUAAAAGAAGCUUAGCACU